AUUGAACGCUGGCGGCAGGCUUAACACAUGCAAGUCGAACGAGCGGCGGACGGGCGAGUAAUGCUUGGGAAUCUAGCUUACGUAGGAGGAUAACUACGGGAAACUGUAGCUAAUACCGCGUACCAUAGGAUGAGCCCAAGUGGGAUUAGGUAGUUGGUGAGGUAAAGGCUCACCAAGCCGACGAGCUCUAGCUGGGCUGAGAGGAUGACCAGCCACACUGGGACUGAGACACGGCCCAGACUCCUACGGGAGGCAGCAGUGGGGAAUAUUGCGCAAUGGUGGCAACCUGACCCAGCCAUGCCGCGUGAGUGAAGAAGGUAUUCGGGUUGUAAAGCUCUUUCGGUAGCGAGGCGUUACCUACAGAAGAAGCACCGGCUAACUCCGUGCCAGCAGCCGCGGUAAUUC
rnacentral:rRNA from 1 species